UAGAUUAAACUACUAUCUCCCUCCAUGAGUUCUUCUCAACCCUACCAGGUUUUCUUGUUUUGCUAUUUCUCCCUCACGCCCAGACCAGUACCUCCCUCCGUCGACCUCAUCGUCAUGUCUGUUGCGUUGUCAUAUGUCAACCUGAGACGUCACUACCUAGUAAACUGUGCCACCAUUGCCGCCCAGUAUGAGAGAGACACAGGGAACAGCACCACGCAAGCAAAUUAUUUGCAUUCUUUGUUGUGUGAAUAGAUGGGAUACAGAAGGCACGACGAUCAGACAAUGUUUGGGGGAGGUAAUCCAACAAGGUUCUUGAGGAAGCUUACAAAAGAUUAAAUGAUCUUGUUCUCACAAUCUGCCUUGAAUUAUUCCAAUUUGGCUCAGACUUAGGCUGCUGAAAUGCUAAAGGACUUGAUGAGACUGAAUUUGUAAAAGUUCUUCACAAGAAAUUUGCUCGUGGUGAAGAAUAUCAUUCAUUGAAUUAGUUCUACAUGGUGUUCAAGAAACUCCCACAAGAGCUUAAUGUUAUAGAUAAUGCUUUGCUAGACAAAGUUUUCAGGCUUAAAUUUUUUUUUUCUUUUAUUGUGUCUUUAUGUGAGAAUUUUUGGAGAAUGGCUGCUUUUAUUUCCUGUAAGUUUGGAGAGCUCAAAUUGUUAUCUCAAAUAUCAACACAUGUUGCAAGACUUGCAUGUGGCUUUGCUCUUCUCUGCACAAUGACAAGCCUUACUUUUUGUUU